AUCCAUGGAUUGAAAGUGCUGGUAUAA
rnacentral:sRNA from 1 species